rnacentral:rRNA from 1 species
UACGAAGGGGGCUAGCGUUGCUCGGAAUCACUGGGCGUAAAGCGCACGUAGGCGGCUUGUUAAGUCAGGGGUGAAAUCCUGGAGCUCAACUCCAGAACUGCCUUUGAUACUGGCGAGCUUGAGUCCGGGAGAGGUGAGUGGAACUGCGAGUGUAGAGGUGAAAUUCGUAGAUAUUCGCAAGAACACCAGUGGCGAAGGCGGCUCACUGGCCCGGUACUGACGCUGAGGUGCGAAAGCGUGGGGGAGCAAACAGG